rnacentral:piRNA from 5 species
AUUGAAAGUCAGCCCUCGACACAAGGGUUUG